UGUAAAUUGGCAGGGUAACAUUUGUUACGGUAUUGGCUUAUUUGGUAUUUUUUAACAGCUAUCGAUAAUUUGGCUAGAUGCCAGGGUGGAGUAUGCGGCCGUGGAGAACAUCAUUACGCCUAUUGGUCUCGUCUUCGGCUGCGAAGUGGAAUCCUUGCGAGUGCCGGCGCUAAACUGGGACUGCAGGACAGCAUCAACAGGGCUGAAGCUGGCCGAGGUCCAGUGCAUCGUCAUUCUGGAUUUUCUUUUCAGCCGCCGCCAUCAUCUGGAUUCUGGAGCUGCCGCCGUCCAUCAUCAGGUUCUCUGCUAGGGCCGUCAUUUGCCUG